AUUACGAAUACUAUUUUUUUCUGAAUAAUCCAUUUGAAUCCAUUCCACGAUACAUGUAUUACCGCCCAAACGCAUGAAGGUCAGUUGUUUAGCCACGUGAAUCUCGCCAAGAGAAUGCUGCUCUCUCCAUAAUUUCUAUAACAAUUGUUACUCGAGACUUGAGAGGUAGUGUAACGCUAAUCAUGAAGGAAAUGUAGCUGUGCUAUAACAUAGCUUUUGAUAUUCAUUGCUUUAGGGGAUUAAUUUUGAAGAAACAACGUUGACAAAAAAAAAAAAAUUAAAAAAACGAAAACACUAUAAACGGCACGUUGUUCAAGUUUUACACGUAGAACGGCACGCAGUGUUUGGCUAGUCUGUAACCCCUUUAAUGGCAUCUCUCAUUGAUUAUCGUCAUUUCGUUUAAGGAUCUUCGUGGGGGCUAAGUCGAUUUGAUAGCGAACUAGAAAGCGAGAGAUCGAAGCGAGUGAUGCCAGGAGGUGUGCCCAAGCUCCCAAAGAUCCAACCGGCGGAUAUCCAAGCCGCCGUGGGAUGGGGUGUCGCCGCCGCAGCCGGCGCCAUCUGGGUCGUCCAACCGUUUGAUUGGAUAAAGAAGACGUUCAUUGAUAAACCAGCAACUGAAGAGAACUGAUGGGAUCACCAAGAUGUAGACUUUUCUUUGGGAUGUGAUUGAAUAAAGUUUUGGUUCUUUUUCUGGGGAUUUUGUUGUUUCAUGCUUCAAUGUAGACUUUUUUUACUUCUCAAAUGUUAUAAUACAAGAAUAAGCAUACACACUCCAAAUCUGUAACCAGAAAGGAGUAUGCAUUUUGCUUUUUCAA